rnacentral:miRNA from 1 species
CACCUCAUUGACUGGAAGAAAUCCCUUCCAGUUGAUGAGGUCCUUUGCACCUCAUCUAUUGGAAGGAAUACCUUCCAAUCAAUGAGGUAUUUGCACCUCAUCGACUGGAAGGAAUCUCUUCCGGUUAAUGAGGUC